AUUGACGAUGUUAACUCUCCCACAUAGGGUCUUCGACAUGUUUUGUCGAUACAAAAAUUGAUUAGUAAUUUGACCAGUGACGACGUUGACAACUGACAUUAGGCUCAUUCAUGUUGUUGUCUUCUGUUAAGGCAUCAGGUUUAAUUUAUAGGCUCGCCUCAUGAGCAUAGUUAUGCUCCGACCGAUGUCCAUUAUGUAUCCAUAGGUUGUACGUGAGAAUAUUAUGCUCCCACCAAUCUCCAGAGGUAUCCAUAGGUUGUAUAUGAGUGUUAGAGUAAUGGGCCACGGGUAGGCCAACCCGAUCCCCAUAACCUUUCAAAACGUCGGGGCAGGCUGCGCCCCUCAAGACCACAGGGCGAAGAGCCACCUCCUGGGGAGUCUACGGCAAGGUGGCCGACUGCCCGCUCACGGCCGAGUCCCGGGGGCGACUUCCAGAGAAGCCGGCUUUGGGGAGUCGGCCGGCGACUCUAACAAACCAUGACCUCAUCGAAGGGGACGGGGCAGGGGCGUGGCUACAAUGAAGCCCACUCCCCGCCCCUUACCACGGGCAGGCAUGGCUACAGCACGCCGUACUUGGGAAGAUCUCCCUGCGGCGUGGCACUGUUGCCCGGCCGGUCCUGACAUCAGCACCACUGUACCGGGUCCUGCACCCACGACGGCUUGUUUGUACGGCCUAGAGGCAGCAGCGCCCACCAGUCAGCGAGACCUUGGGAGACGGCGAGAGAACCGCCAGUCGGACCCGCCGGGAGUCGGCCCGGGGGAGUCGGCCGAGCCCUCCCUCGGGGCCCACGUGCCAUUAAUCAAGAAGAGAUGGGGGAGUGGCCACAGUGAUCGCCCCGCCAGGCGGCGGGGCUGUUGCCACGACCCCAUGACCAAGCUCGCGUCAUCAGGAGCGCGGCUAUAGUAAUCAGCAGCCGGCAAGACCCGCCCGCGGCGGACGCGGCCUGUCGGCUCCAUAAUAGACCAGUCGGCGGGGCCCACCAGUCGGCGGGCCCCAACAGUCGGCGGAGAAGUCGAAGGUCGGAGGCACUGACGACUGGGCCCACGCCCAGUCGAAUUACCAUUGUACCCUUGGGGGUAGGCCUAUAUAACCCCCAGGGCACCCAUGCAAAGGGUUGGAUCCCAGUAGUUCUAAACCACACCAGAUAGAAGGAGAGAGCUGGCCUUGCCCUCUGCUACCACCCGAACAGCUCAAGGAGCAACCUUGUAAACACUUGGCCAUAGUGAUCAUGCGGAGACCCCGCAGAGCAGCAGUAGGGGUGUUAUCUCCCCGGAGAGCCCUGAAGCUGGGUAAGAUUCGCCGGCGUGCAUGUCUUCGCCUCAUCCCGUUUCCAGGCACCGGCGACGUUCUACUCGCCCCCACCAUGAUAAGUCAUCUGUUGGCAUAUGUCGCACCAAACCCCCGACAUUUGGCGCCCACCGUGGGGCAUGGUGCACCGCCGUCCGAAGAUCUGUUCUGGACGGGAACCCUUUUCCUCCCUGGCGAGCGCAGCCAGCCAGGCACACCAGGCGAAGUUUGCAUCGACGCGCUGCGCGGCGUUGAGAUCGCCUGCACAGCCAGCUCCUUGGCCGAACUUGUCGGCGAGGCCCGCCUCUCCGACGAACCUGCGUCCGACGCAGGCGCGGGCGGCCCCGAAAACCUCCUCGCGGGCCUCCUCGAUCAACUCCACGUUUCCGGCGAGCCUGCCGUAGACUUGGAAUCCGUAGGCUCCACCGACCCGAUGCUGGUCGACUCCGACACCGCGUCGGUCGACACGUUCCCCACCAACGUGGUGGUCUACGACGAGCCUCUCUCCCACGCGAAGAGCGACGGAAGCACCGUCACUGAGGUGCUGGUCAUCAGUCAUGACGAGUUCCCUGGCGGGGGAGGGGGGGCGCCCGACUCACUCGGCGCGGCGCUGCAAGAUCUAGCUGCGCCCAUUCCGGAAGAUGCCGACGCAGAGAUGCUAGAAGCGCGCCGCCUUCAGCUUGUUGAAGGCGUGAAGAAGCUGGCCAGCAUGAGAUGCUUGUCAGAAGCUUACCAGCGAGAGAUGGAUCACGCUGUUGACGGCUCGCCGGCCCCGGCAGGGCCCAGCCGCCUUGGCGCGGUUCAGCAACGCGGCGUAGCCAUCGCCAGCCUGUUUGGGGCUAGCCGCCCCGUGUAUGCCACGCCAGCGGAGAACAUCCGAGCCGCCCAGGCAGCGGCGGAUGAGCUGGACAAUUUCGAGGGCGAAGAGCGCCGCCUCAUGAUGGAGCGAGUCCAGCGGGUCCUCGACGCGGCCGCCGCGUAGAACAAGGCCGGCUGCCGCACAAAGGCGCCGCAGCGGCCAAACGACGACCCACAUCGAGAUCAAGGCGCGACGUCUCGGACGCCGACUGGCGGUGCCCGAGGAAGAAAGGACAAGGAGCCGGCUGUCAGCCACAGUCGGACUCGGAUUACCGUAGAGCACGACCGAGAUGGCUGCCCGAGAGCAGUGGAACGACGGGACGACUGUCCGCCUCCCCCUCCCCGCAAGGAGAGGCGAGUCUCCCUGCCGCCUGUUGACCAUCCGACUCUCGGUGACCGUCUUGGCCGCCGAGAGAGAGUUGGAGAGAAUGACGCCCGCCACCGGAUCAACCGACUUCACCGAUCCCUGGCGCUGGAAGAAGAAGACGAGCUGGGUCCGCCUUGUUUCGGGCCCCGCAUUCGGGACGAGCCCUUUCCCAGAGGGUUCACGCUCCCAAGAGACACGCCCAAGUAUACCGGCUCCGUGAAGCCGGAAGACUGGCUAGUCGACUACUUCAUGGCUGUCAGCAUAGCAAACGGCAACAAGCGUGUUGCUGUAAAGUACGUUCUGCUCAUGCUCCAGGGCACGGCUCGGACAUGGCUGAACAGCCUAAAGCCCCGCAGCAUCAACAGUUGGGUCGACUUCACCGAAGCAUUCGUCCGCAACUUCACCAGCACGUACAAGUGUCCUCCCAAGCCUCGUCAGCUCUCCUUGUGCGUGCAAGGUCCUGACGAGUCGACUCGCGACUACCUCACGUGUUGGGCUGAGCUUCGAAACUCCUGCGAGGGCGUGCACGAGGUGCAGGCCAUCGAGUACUUCACAGCCGGGUGCCGAGAAGGCACCCUCCUCAAGCACAAGCUCCUCUGUGACGAGCCAGAAACCCUUGACGAGCUGCUGAUCAUAGCGGACAAGUACGCUACGGCCGACUCCUCCAUGAAAACGGAAAUUCAAAUCAGCACGACUGGCAAAGUAGCUCCUCAGGCUCCAAGAACUCCGGCGGCAGACGCCGGCCGGCGACAACAGCAGGGCGACAACAAGCGCAAGGCCCCGCAGCCGGCUUCCAGCAGCCGGCAAGUCGCGACCGUUGAAGCCCAGCAGCCAGAAGAGCAGCCUCCGCCCAAGCGACAGAAAGGCGGCAAGCCGAACUGGUUGUCGGCCUUCUCCUACGAGCAGACCUUGGACGGACCUUGCAAGUUCCACAGCGGCGCGAAGCCGUCGAAUCAUACCACCCGGAAGUGCCACUGGCUCACCAGGAUCGCCAAGGGAGACGGCCUCCUGCCACCCCCGCCUGCUGGGCAGCCGCCUCCGCCUCCGCCCCAGCAGCCGGCAGUCAGGCCAGUCGGCACAGUACAAGACGAAUACCCUGAAGAGCACGGAGCCUAUGUGGUGUUCACCAGUGUGGCUGAUGAUCGACGCAGCAGGCGGCUGCAGCGACAAGAGGUGAACGCAGUAGCUUCAGAGAUGCUAGAGUUCAUGCACUGGUCUAAGAGGCCCAUCAGCUGGAGCAGGGCUGACCACCCAGAAGUGAUGCCGAGUCCGGGCUCCUACGCCUUGGUCCUGGACGCCACCUUUGCCACGGACAAACGAGCCACGCGUUUCUCAUGAGUUCUGAUAGAUGGGGCAGCAGCAUCAGUAUCCUGUACAAGGAAACCAUGGAGAAGUUAGGAAUCAAGCAGAGACAGCUUCAGAGCAGCCGGACUGUGUUCCACGGCAUUGUUCCUGGGUUUUCCUGCUCACUAAUCGGCAAGAUCCUGAUUGACGUCCUCUUUGGGGACAAAGAUCACUUCCGAAGAGAGUCUGUUUGGUUUGAGGUAGUGGACCUCGAGAGCCCAUAGCAUGCGCUACUUGGCCAGCCCGCCUUGGCCAAGUUCAUGGCGGUCCCCCACUAUGCCUACCUCAAGAUGAAGAUGCCCAGUUCCAGGGGAAUUCUGACUGUGGCCGGCGACUACCGGAAGUCGCGCGCUUGCGCGACCGAGAGCAAUCGGCUGGUCGAGUCCCUGGUGAUUGCAGCCGAGAAGCGACUCCUUGAGCGAGUUGCGGCGAUGGCCGGCAAGCAGCCGGAGAUAUCCCCCGACCCGAAGGAGUCGGAAGCCGAAGAUUCGUUCAAGCCGGCCAAAGAGACAAAGAAGAUACCCUUGGAUCCGGAGCGCCCAGAGAGGUACGCCGUCGUAGGUGCAAACCUCGACAGCAAAUAGGAAGGCGAGCUCGUCGAUUUCCUCCGUGAGAAUCGGGACAUCUUCGCAUGGUCUCCCAAGGACAUGCCAGGUGUACCGACGGAUUUCGCCGAGCACAAGUUACACGUCCGAUCUGAUGCAAAGCCGGUCAGGCAGCCCUUGCGCCGCUUAUCAGAAGAGAAGAGAAGAGUUAUCGGAGAAGAGAUAGCCCGACUCCUAGCAGUCGGCUUCAUUAUGGAAGUUUUCUUCCCGGAGUGGCUAGCAAAUCCGGUCCUGGUGCUGAAGAAGAACAAGCAAUGGCGAAUGUGUAUUGACUACCUGAGCCUCAACAAGGCCUGUCCCAAGGACCCAUUUGCUCUACCGAGAAUUGACCAGGUGAUAGACUCCACAGCCGGAUGCGAGUUGUUGAGCUUCUUGAAUGCAUACUCAGGAUAUCACCAGAUCAAGCUGAAUCCGGCUGACAGAUUGAAGACCGCCUUCAUCACGCCGUUUGGAGCAUUCUGCUACCUCACCAUGACGUUCGGCUUAAGGAAUGCCGGCGCCACCUUUCAGCGUUGCAUGCAGAAGUGCCUCCUCAAGUAGCUCGGCAGGAACGCCCACGUUUACGUGGACAACGUGGUGGUGAAGAUGGAAAAGCGAGGAACACUGCUGGAAGACCUCAAGGAGACCUUUGAGAACCUGCGCCGGUUCCAGAUCAAGCUCAACCCCGAGAAGUGUGUCUUCGGAGUACCAGCCGGCCAGCUGCUAGGUUUUCUGGUCUCUGAACGCGGCAUAGAAUGCAACCCAGUAAAGAUCAAGGCCAUCGAGAGAAUGGAGGUACCCAGCCGACUGCUGGAUGUGCAGAAGUUCACCGGCUGCUUGGCGUCCAUCAGCCGAUUCAUCAGUCGGCUGGGCGAGAAAGCUCUCCCCUUAUACCAACUCAUGAAGAAGACCACUUUUUUCGAGUGGAACCAUAAGGCGGACGAAGAUUUCCACCAGUUGAAGAAGAUGCUGACUACUCCACCCGUCCUGGCGGCUCCGACUCCCAAGGAACAUAUGCUCCUGUACAUCGCCGCCACCAGCCAAGUAGUCAGCACAGUCAUUGUAGUAGAGCGCAAGGAGGAAGGCAAGGCGCUACCUGUCCAGAGACCAGUAUAUUACCUGAGCGGGGUACUGUCGACCUCCAAGCAGAACUACCCCCACUACCAGAAGAUGUGUUAUGGCGUGCACUUUGCUGCCAAGAAAUUGAAGCCUUACUUUCAAGAGCAUCCAAUCACAGUGGUCUGCACGGCUCCACUUGCCGAGAUCAUCGGUAGCCGAGAUGCCUCUGGUCCAGUGGCCAAGUGGGCCAUAGAGCUGGCUCCUUACACCAUCUACUACCAGCCCCGCACCGCCAUCAAAUCACAAGCACUGGCCGACUUCCUCGUCGACUGGGCCGAGACCCAGUACCUGCCUCCAGCGCCUGACUCCACCCAUUGACGGAUGCACUUCAACGGCUCCAAGAUGCGCACCGGCUUGGGAGCCGGCGUCGUCCUUACCUCUCCCAAAGGCGACAAGCUCAAAUAUGCACUGCAAAUCCAUUUUGCCACCUGCAACAACGUGGCCGAGUACGAGGCGCUCAUUCACGGGCUCCGGCUUGCCAAAGAACUUGGCAUCCGCCGGAUCUUGUGUUAUGGCGACUCGGACUUAGUGGUCCAGCAGUCAUCUGGCGACUGGGAUGCGAAAGACGCAAACAUGGCGAGCUACUGUUUCCUCGUACAGCAACUCAACGGGUAUUUCGAAGGGUGCGAGUUCCUCCAUGUGCCAAGAAACGACAACGACCAAGCAGACGCCUUGACACGAAUCGGCUCUACCCGCCAAGCAAUACCAUAUGGCGUCGCCCUUCAACGCCUCCUCAAGCCGUCUGUCAAACCUUCACCAGAAUCAGACUCCAUUUUUGUGCCGGCUCCUCCCAAAGACGGCGGGUCCGACUCCAGAGCUCCGGUAGUCGGAACGGGGACUUUGGCGGGCGACUCCAAAGCUGCCACAGUCGAGCCCGGCCCGGGGACUGCGGUGACGGACUCGAAGAUUUCAGAACUCGGCCCAAGGACCGCGCCAGUCGGCCUGGGGACUUCAUCAGCCCAGCAAGCGGCUGUUGACUCCAGCCCGCCGCCUCCCAGCCCAGCCGCCCUCGCCCAAGUCGCAGUUCUGGUAGUCGAAGAAAUAGCAGCACCCUCAUGGGCCCAGCCCAUCCUCAAAUUCCUAGUGAACAAAGAGCUACCAACUGAUGAGACCUCAGCUCGGCAAGUACAACGCCGGGCGGCAGCCUAUACCAUAAUCAAGAGAGAGCUGGUCAGGCGCAGCGUCACCGGUGUCUACCAGCGCUGCGUAGAGCCAGAGCAAGGCCAGGCACUCCUCAAAGACAUCCAUCAAGGCGAAUGCGGCCACCAUGCGGCUUCAAGAGCAGUCGUUGCCAAAGCUUUUUGGCACGGUUUCUUUUAGCCGACUGCCUUGGAAGAGGCCAAGGAGUUGGUCCAAAAAUGCAAAGGGUGCCAAAAGUUCAGCUCCAAGCCGCACCAGCCGGCUUCCGCGCUCAAGACCAUCCCCAUUGCUUGGCCUUUCGCAGUUUGGGGUCUAGACAUUGUGGGACCAUUCAAAACAGCAUGAGGUGGUCUAACUCACCUACUUGUCGCAGUAGACAAGUUCACCAAGUGGGUGAAAGUGAAGCCAAUUAAGAAACUGAACGGUCUGACUGCCGUGACCUUCAUCACCGAUAUCACAAUUCGGUACGGCAUACCACACAACAUCAUCACCGACAACGGCACAAAUUUUGCCAAAGGCGCCUUGGCCCGUUUCCGCGCAACACAGGGCAUCUGACUGGACCUAGCGUCCGUCGCCCACUCGCAGUCAAACGGCCAAGUGGAGCGAGCAAACGGCCUCAUCCUGUUCGGCAUCAAGCCUCGGUUGAUCGAGCCUCUGGAGCGCUCGCCUGGCUGCUGGCUCGACGAGCUGCCAGCCGUCCUCUAGAGUCUGCGCACGACUCCAAACAAGUCAACCGGCUUCACGCCCUUCUUCCUCGUCUACGGUGCCGAAGUCGUCAUCCCAACGGACAUAGAGUUCGACUCCCCACGAGUCACCAUGUACACCGAGGAGGAAGCAGAAGAAGCAUGACAAGACGGCGUCGAUUUGCUGAAAGAGGGCCGGCUGUUGGCACUCAGCCGGUCCAGCAUCUACCAGCAGAGCCUGCGCCGAUACCACAACAGGAAGGUCAGGCCAAGAUCUUUCCAAGAAGGCGACCUUGUGCUCCAGCUGAUCCAGCGAACAGCCGGCCAGAACAAGCUGUCGCCGCCUUGGGAAGGCCCUUUCAUCAUCAGCAAAGUAAUAGGCAACGAUUCCUAUUACCUGAUCAUCGCUCAGAAGCCCCGAGCAUGCAAGAGGGACGACUCCGGCAAGGAGACAGAGCGGCCAUGGAAUGCAAAUUUUCUGCGAAGAUUUUACAGUUGAUGCAGUAUGUACCACGCUACCUUUUGUAUUAAAGUACCAAGACUUCGAGCCCCCCGAGACGAGCUCGGGGACUGCCCUCUUUUGUUUGUAUGAUAAAAAUUAUACCUACAAGUAUGUUACUCUUUGUCAUGCCGCUUGGCACCGGGCUUGACAAGUCGGCCCGGGGACUUGCCGCCUUGCACUAUGAAAUGCUUCCUGCAGCCAGACAAGUAGUGUGUAACACCUAAGCCGUCUUCUGUCAAAAGCCGCAGCUCGCAGAGCGGCUAUACAGUGGGCAGAGGUAAGGUAGAAUGGGUGCUCGCACGAAAAAUGGCUAAGGACUCAAAGCGUAAAACAUAGCUCAAGACGGCUUCCAGCCUUUCUCGCAAACUGACUCUCGGAAAGUCGGAUUGUCGUUUUCUAUCCAACUUGCUCAAACAAUCUUGAAAUCGGCUAAGUACUUGCUUUCCCAAAGUAGCCUAACACUUGAUCCAGCAACAGUCCACAGAGCGGUUGUCCGAUUGGCAAGGCAGGCAACUAAGAAAAAGCGGCAAAGGAAAAUAGCCAAAAGAACAAUGAGUAANNNNNNNNNNNNNNNNNNNNNNNNNNNNNNNNNNNNNNNNNNNNNNNNNNNNNNNNNNNNNNNNNNNNNNNNNNNNNNNNNNNNNNNNNNNNNNNNNNNNNNNNNNNNNNNNNNNNNNNNNNNNNNNNNNNNNNNNNNNNNNNNNNNNNNNNNNNNNNNNNNNNNNNNNNNNNNNNNNNNNNNNNNNNNNNNNNNNNNNNNNNNNNNNNNNNNNNNNNNNNNNNNNNNNNNNNNNNNNNNNNNNNNNNNNNNNNNNNNNNNNNNNNNNNNNNNNNNNNNNNNNNNNNNNNNNNNNNNNNNNNNNNNNNNNNNNNNNNNNNNNNNNNNNNNNNNNNNNNNNNNNNNNNNNNNNNNNNNNNNNNNNNNNNNNNNNNNNNNAACAUAGGCCCUUGGCCGAAUUAUCGAGUAGAGGUUCAAAAUACACCCCACGGCUGGAAUUGUGCGAAUUAACAAGUUCUUCAAAAGACUACUGAAGCAGAUAAAACAAAAGACACAGCGACAGCUUAGGAGGUGGCAGACGGAUUCGGGGGGUCGGAGGAGGCGCCAGCGUUAGGCGUCGGGGCGGUCGGCCGGCUAGUCUCGGCUUGAUCGCCUCCGGCAGCAGUCGGAUCGGUCGCACGCGGCUCGUUGUUGGAGGCGCGGUCGGGCUGAGGCUGGCCGUCUGCUCCGUCUUCUGGUGUCUCCACCUCGCCCUCAUCCUCCGCCUCAUCCUCCUCCUCGACGCUGGAGCCAAUCACCUCCGCCGAGUCUUCGCCGUAGUCUGGGUUCAUCCCAAACCACUCCGGCGGUACCUCCUCGCCGUCUUCAGACCGCUCGGGGACGAAGAUGCUCGUGUCGGUGUACUCGACGAUCGCCGCAGCACGCUUGACGAGGGCGUCUUCCACAGCCGCCAGCUCCGGCUGGGCCUCCACCGAAGCAUGGCCAACCGGUCUAGAUCCAGCCCCGGGUACCACGCCUUGACGAACUCAAAGGCCCGGCGUGCUCCUUCCCGGGCCAAAGAGCCCUUCCAGGCCUCGAGGCGACCAGCCGCGACCUUCAACCAGUUGGCCGUCAGGCUGGGGGUGCACGGAGCCUGCAUAUCCGGCCAAAGGGCAGAAAUCGCCUGGGCACCAACGCGCUGAAGCCGGCGCAGCAUCCGAUGAGCCGGCCGAAGGCGAGCCUCAAUGCUCAAGAUGUGCUCAUCAAGAGUUCGGGGGGCAUCGGCGGCGAUCUCCGCGCCCUCCGCCCUCCGACUUUCACGAUCGGCCUCGAUGGCUUGGAUAGCGGCCUGCGACUGCCCAGGGAAGAAGUCUGCAAAAGACACGAAGAAACGAAGAAGCAAGUCAAAAACCAGGAGUCAGCACGAUCUAAGUCGGCAGCUCGAACAAAGAAAAUAAAUAGACUCACCAUCAACGAUGUCUUCAAUCUCGUGGAAGCCGGAGGACAGCAGCGCCUCCUUGUCAGACCAGGAGGAGCGCUCGCUCGUGAACUCGGCCAAGAGGGCGGUUUCCGUCUCCCCCGCCUCCCUCUGCGACUUCGCAAGCAGCUCCUUCUGCUCCGCCAACUGAGUGACCGGCAGAUCGCGCUCUGUGGCGAGCCUGCUACAUUCCUCCCCUUUGGCGAGCAGGGCGGAGUUGGCUUCGCUCAGCUGCUGUUGAAGUGCAGCGUUGGCUCCUGAAGGAAAGGGAAGAAAGACAACAGUCGUCAAUAAAGUAGGUCGCCGGGGAGAUCCGGCCCAACUGCUCAGCAGUCGGCCCGAAUCUCAGGGACUACAGCCCGCGGGUGCGCUAGCGCGCCCCCGCAGAAAAAGAAAAAGAAGGAAGGACUUACUCCGACUCUCCGUCAAGUCGGCGGUCCGCUUGCCCAGCUCUUCAACAUUACGGUUGAAGGCAGUGACGCGGAGGUUGUGGUAAUCCUGCAACAAGCAUUUCAGAUAAAGUUAGUAUCCAGAAGUUCAUCAAUUGGAGUUCCGGGUCGCCUGCUCAGCAGCCGGCCCGAAACUCGGGGACUACACCCAGUGGGUGCGCUGACGCGCCCCCACAGAGAGGAACAAGAAAAACAAAGGCCCAAAGAAAAAACAUACCCGGACGGCUGCCCGCGAUGCUAGGAACGCCUUGGUGCAACUCUGGAGGGCGUCGCCCUCAGCGCGGAGCUUCGCCUGGACGUCCAGGAGCGCCCGGUUCAGCGGCCCUGCGCCGCCUCCUCGCACCCACCCAACAGGUGCGGCGCUCGUCGCUUCGGCGUAUGGAGCCGCCGAGCUGGCGGUGCCGGCUUCCAGGGGCGGGGUGCCGAAGUCGCCUUCUCCAGACGACGGCGCGCUGGCGAGCCGACCUGGAGUAGCCUCGCCACGGCCUCGUCUUCGGUCGGCGGCACCGGAGGGUCCGCUGGCUGCUCGCCCUGCAUGCCUUCAGACGGCGGCGGAGGCGGCAGCGGAACGUUCGCACCCGGAGUAGAGGGCUCGCCGCCUUCCCUCUCCUCGACGAGGUUCUCCCCGCCGGCUUCUCCAGUCUGCCCCGUGAACUCCGGGGGCGGCGGCGUAGAGUUUAGCGGGGCAACAAGCAAGGCCGACUGGCGGCGUGCGGCUUCCUCAGCCUGCUGCUUCGUCGCGGCGGCGGCUUCGGCCUCCGCUAGUUUUUUCUUAGCGAAGGCCUCCGCCCUGUCGGCAUCCGCCUUCUCCAGGCGAAGGGCUUCUUCUUCGUUGCGCUUCUCCUGCGCAUUCCGCUCCGUCGCCUCCCUGAGGUCGGCAGCGGGGUCUAUUCGCCGAGUGGUGGCGGGUGUCUCCGCUGACCCCAUGACGGAGGCGGCGGCGACCCGCUCAAGAGAGAGGGGAGCCCUGAAGAAAGAGGGGCGAGCAGAGACUCAGACAAAACACGAAGAAAGAAUAAACUUUGAAGAUAGAACACUUACGCAGAGACCAACGGCGGCUUCUUCACUUCCUUACGGAAGCGGAUGGCCUUCGCGGCUGGCUCGUCCCGCCGGGUCGCCGCAGCCGAGCCCUUCGGCUUCUUCGGCCGGCUGCCGAACAAAGUCGGCGCAGCCCGACACUUCUUCCCGCCGCCUGGAGCGCCCGACGCGGCAGAAGAGCCCACGCCCGGCUGGCUGGCUCCUGGCCGAUGGCGAGGGGCGACUCCUCCCUCGGCGUCGUCUUCAGGCCAGUCGCCCCUCGUGGCGACGUUCCUAACGUAGAAGUAGGACCUCUGCCACAUCUUCACCGACUUCAACAGCGAGAUGGAGGGGAAGUGGUUGUCAGCUCCUGUCCUUCGCACGGCGAUGAAGGCGCCGCACAGAGCCGGCACGCCCGCGGCCUGGGUGCCGAGCUUGGAGAAGAACUCCCCCCAGAGAUCGAGGGUGGGGAGGACUCCGAGGAAGCCUUCGUACAGAGCCACGAAGGCGGACAGCAGCACCACUGUGUUGGGGGUGAGGUGGUGCGGCUGGAGGCCGUAGAACUCCAUGAACGACCGGAAAAAGCUGCUCGCCGGCAGCCCCAGCCCGCGCAGGCAGUGCGAGCGAAAGAUGACCCGCUCGCCCUCCUGCGGGGCGGGGGAAAUCUCCCCCGCCGGUGCAAGACGCACCUGCACGCGGCUUCGCCGGGAAGCCGACGGGUCCGGCGGAGGAACUUGAUAUGGUCUUCGUGGACUUCGGAGCCGUCCCAGGUGCCGGAGCGCACUGGAGGAGGCGCGGCAGCAGAGGAAGAACUCAUCCGAAGCUGUCACCGCAGCGUUCGCCGAAGCCUGGGCGUGCGGCGGAGCGAAGAAGAGGAGAGGAAACAGGAGAGCGAGGAGGAAGAAAGCAAGGGGUAGUGGGGAGGAGAGGCGCGCGUGCCCCCCUCUUCCCCCUACUUAUAGCCCUGUGGGUUGCAAAGCCGAGGGGGCGGAUGUGGGGAUUUACUGCGCCCGCAACCCCAUGACCCCCACGAUUCACGUAAAGUUACUAUGCGCAGUAACUUCACGGGAAUCCCAACCGUCCACCAGGGCCGCAGCGGAUCCGCUCAGGCGCCGAGGCGCGGUAGUGGCAGGCCCCGCCUACGGGCCCGUCCUGUCAUGCGCGUGGGCUGGCAGGACGGCCUGGCCACGUGCCCUCGCGCGACAGGCCAAGAACGGGCGGCGGUCUGGAAGCUUAGCUAGCACGCCACUUGAAAUCCCGCCGCGACGUUCGAACUGCUGAGCAAGUCGGAAUUGAGUGAGUCCGAGUUGGGCGAGUCCGACUCCUUCUAGUCAGCCCGGCAGAAGUCAAUCAAGAUCAUGUGUUGAGCACCCGAAGAGAAAAACUGCUGAGGCUUCUCGGCCGAUCGUCCGCGGCGCCUCACCAGCUUCGGGGACUACUGUCGAAGUAAUGGGCCACGGGUAGGCCAACCCGAGCCCCAUAACCUUUCAAUACAACGGGGCAGGCUGCGCCCCUCAAGACCACAGGGCGAAGAGCCGCCUCCUGGGGAGUCUAUGGCAAGGCGGCCGACUGCCCGCUCACGAUCGAGUCCCAGGGACGACUUCCAGAGAAGCCGGCUUUGGGGAGUCGGCGGGCGACUCCAACAAACCAUGACCUCAUCGAAGGGGACGGGGCAGGGGCGUGGCUACAAUGAAGCCCACUCCCCGCCCCUUACCACGGGCAGGCAUGGCUACAACACGUCGUACUUGGGAAGAUCUCCCUGCGGCGUGGCACUGUUGCCCGGCCGACCCUAACAUCAGCACCACUGUACCGGGUCCUGCGCCCACGACGGCUUGUUUGUACGGCCUGGAGGCAGCGGGGCGCACCAGUCAGCGAGACCUCAGGAGACGGCGAGAGAAUCGCCAGUCGGACCCGUCGGGAGUCGGCCCGGGGGAGUCGGCCGAGCCCUCCCCGGGGCCCACGCGCCAUUAAUCAAGAAGAGAUGGGGAGUGGCCACAGUGAUCGCCCGCCGGGCGGCGGGGCUGUUGCCACGACCCCAUCACCAAGCUCGCGUCAUCAGGAGCGCGACUACAGUAAUCAGCAGCCUGCAAGACCCGCCCGCGGCGGACGCGGCCUGUCGGCUCCGUACCAGACCAGUCAACGGGGCCCACCAGUCGGCGGGCCCCAGCAGUCGACGAAGAAGUCGAAGGUCGAAGGCACUGACGGUUGGGCCCACGCCCAGUAGAAUUACCAUUGUACCCCUGGGGGUAGGCCUAUAUAAACCCCCCAGGGCACCCAUGCAAAGGGUUGGAUCCCAGUAGUUCUAAACCACACCAGACAGAAGGAGAGAGCUGGCCUUGCCCUCUGCUACCACCCGAACAGCUCAAGGAGCAACCUUGUAAACACUUGGCCAUAGUGAUCAUGCGGAGGCCCCGCAGAGCAGCAGUAGGGGUGUUAUCUCCCCGGAGAGCCCUGAAGCUGGGUAAGAUUCGCUGGCGUGCAUGUCUUCGCCUCAUGCCGUUUCCAGGCACCGACGACAUUCUACUCGCCCCCACCAUGAUAAGCCAUCCGUUGGCAUAUGUCGCACCAAACCCCCGACAAUGAGAAGAGCCAAGACUGCAUCCUUACAGAGCAGAACACUAUCCAAG
rnacentral:lncRNA from 1 species